rnacentral:rRNA from 1 species
GAUGAACGCUGGCGGCGUGCCUAAUACAUGCAAGUCGAGCGAACGGACGAGAAGCUUGCGUCGCUGAUGUUAGCGGCGGACGGGAGAGUAACACGUGGAUAACCUACCUAUAAGACUGGGAUAACUUCGGGAAACCGGAGCUAAUCCCGGAUGAUAUUUUGAACCGCAGGGUUCAAAAGUGAAAGACGGUCUUGCGGGCUGUUAUAGAUGGAUCCGCGCUGCAUUAGCUAGUUGGUAAGGUAACGGCCUACCAAGGCAAGGAUGCGUAGCCGACGUGAGAGAGUGAUAGGCGACACGGGAACUGGACCACGGUCCAGGCUCCUGCGGGAGGCAGCAGAAGGGAAUCUUACGCAAUGGGCGAGAGCCUGACGGAGCAACGCCGCGUGAGUGGUGAAGGUCUUCGGAUCGUAAAGCUCUGUUAUUAGGGAAGAACAUAUGUGUAAGUAACUGUGCACAUCUUGACGGUAACUAAUCAGAAAGCCACGGCUAACUACGUG